rnacentral:lncRNA from 1 species
GCCUGAAGAUGGAAUCUAGUCCUGGAUUCAAAUCUAGCCUCAGACACUACCUAGUUAAGUGACCCUGAGCAAGUCACAUAACUGCCAUUGCCUUCCCUUACUACUCUUCUACCUUAGAACCAAUACAUGGCACUGAUUUUCAAGUGGAAGGAGACAUCUUUGUUUGGAGAAGGGCAGAACUAAGGCCUUAAGUUUGAAACAUCCAACUGCCUAAAUUCAUAUCAAGACCAACAAGAGAGUCAGACUGAC